rnacentral:rRNA from 1 species
ACGAAGAUAAAAAGUGCCGUGGAACCCGAUCAAGAGGUAAGCGGGUGGAAGUUGAACUGCAAGCUCUGAGAAUUCAGCCGGUGAGUGUGGUUUGAGCUUGGUCAAGUCAGUUGGACUUCGUGGUCCGAGAAGCACUUAGCAAGUGCUGUGGGCCUCGAGUGUUCUUCGGGCUGACUCGCCGGUGCAUUUUCUCAGAGUGGUCACCACGACCGGCAUCGCUGUCUGGCUGGUGGGGUUAAACCGGUUUUGCAUGGUCCCAGUGGCCCUGUUUGAUCGGGAUGGCAGGUAGCUCGUUGGCUUGCUCGCGGUCCUCCGUGAGCGUGGUCUUCGAGUGUAAUCAGCUGACCACAUCGGUUCUGUGCAGUAUGUCGGAGACGGCGGCUAGUGCGCGUGCGUGCAUAGCUGGUUGGCGUGUCCGGGUUUGGUUGUUACGUUGCCUGUUUGUGCAGGCCUGAUAAUGGCUCGGAUUCGUUCGGCUGGGCUGUUGCGUGCGUGUACAAUAUGGGGCCGAUAGUCUGUGGUGUAGUGGGAAAUAAUACAACCUGACCCCGUCUUGAAACACGGAACCAAGACC